UGGACUCAUGAGGCUCUCUUGAAAAAAGCGGGUUUCCCGCUCGAGAGAGCCGAGGUUACAGAAAGAUUUAAAAACCAAUCCCAAUCAAUAUGGGUUAGGC
rnacentral:sRNA from 1 species